GGCAGAUUGGGUGAUGAGAGAUCCGAGGGGUAAGGAAGCAUUGAGCUUUAGGAGCAACUGCGAGUCUUAAGGAGACCUUGAUUUCAUUCAGUGAUAUGGGAAACCACAGCAAAUUUUGAUCAGAAGAGUAAUAUCAACUAACUCCACUUGGACCGCAUGGAAACGAGGAAGGAGAAUACUACAGCAACCUGGAAGCCAGUGAAAAAUGAUGGCAACACUAUCUAAGAUGGUAAAAAAUUGACGAAGAAAAGCUCAUUUCGAACUGUUGAGGAGAGAAAUGUAUUUGCAGAGAGAGCAUGAAAAAUCAUGAACCACUCCAUGGGUUUUGCCUUGUGCAAGUGGAAGCAAGGGAAGAAGAUAAAGAGAUGUUUUUAUGGGGCUUCUCUACUUAACACAAUCCUGAGAUUUAACACAGGAUGGAAAAGAAGGCAUUAUAAAAUUUCAGUAAGAUGGGAUCUUGCCAUGUUGUUCAGGCUGGCCUUGAAUUACUGGACUCGAGUGAUCCUCCAACCUCGGCCUCCUGAGUACAUAUUCCCUGGUCUAUAGAUGAAGAAAUGAAGGUUCAAGAAUACUGGACAUCUGGACUAAUUAAAUGACAACUAAAUGGCAGAAAUGGUAUUUAAGCUCAGGCCUAGCAGAUGCAAAGUCAUGGGCACAUGUCAAGUAUGUAAUAUUGUAUAGCCUAUUAACUCAUCAAUUUAGUCUUUAGAAGGCUGAAUUUCUAAUAUGUAUCAGGAAUAACAUAAAAGGUUGAGAGGAA
rnacentral:lncRNA from 10 species